rnacentral:rRNA from 1 species
AGGACGAACGCUGGCGGCGUGCUUAACACAUGCAAGUGGAGCGACGAACCAGGGCUUGCCCUGGGGCAGAGCCGCGAACGGGUGAGUAACACGUGGGUUACCUGCCUCGAUGACCGGGACAACCCGAGGAAACUCGGGCUAAUACCGGAUGUGCCCGCAAGGGGAAAGGAAGCUUCGGCCUCCGCAUCGAGAUGGGCCCGCGGCCCAUUAGCUUGUUGGUGAGGUAAUGGCUCACCAAGGCUUCGAUGGGUAGCUGGUCUGAGAGGACGAUCAGCCACACUGGGACUGAGACACGGCCCAGACUCCUACGGGAGGCAGCAGUGGGGAAUCUUGCGCAAUGCGCGAAAGCGUGACGCAGCAACGCCGCGUGGGGAAGAAGGCUUCGGGUUGUAAACCCCUUUCAGUUGGGACGAAGCUUCUCCGGUGAAUAGCCGGACGGAGUGACGGUACCUUCACAAGAAGCACCGGCUAACUACGUGCCAGCAGCGC